UGGACACGCGCCCGGGCCCCGGUCUUUCCAGCACACUGGGCUGCAGCGGUGGCGGAGGCCUUGGGUCGUGACCAGCGCGGCCCGAGCUAGCGACUAGGUUCCCGGCCCUCGAGGCAGGACGGCGUAAGUUCCCGAGAGGGACCGCCUCCCCUCACUCCCCGCCCCGGGAAGCGCUGCGCCGGCGCCCGGCGGUCCUCGGAAUCGCCCAGCCCGGCUGCAGCCACUGCCCUGGCCGAGCGCGGGCGGAAAACGAAACCGCAGGCCGCUUCGCGGGCGCUUUGUCUCCAGCACUGCAAGUGCGACCCGGCGAGUGGCUUUAGUUCCUGCAGCGCCACGAACCGCACGGGUUCCCUAGCGAAACGGCGACGGCCGGUUCACUCAUUCAUAAAGGCGCACACACGCGUGCAUUAACGCGCGCCUGGAGCGCACACGCAGUGAUGCCCCAAGCGAAUUCCCAAAUCACCAACUCAGACGUGCAAACUUGCACCCAGUGCGCGCCCCACUCACGUACCCCAGGGUCCCACGGGAGCUGACAUAGCCAUCGCCUUCAUUCACACACACAAACACACACACACACACACACACACACACACACACACACCACUCUCAGAUCAGAGCGCACACAGCAAAUUCUCCUCGGAGCCCCCUCCCCCACGCUCAACUCUGAAAUCCGCUUAGUUGGCCCCGCGGCCCCGAGUCCCCUUUUACAAGCGCAGGUUCUGAUUUCCUGAGAGAUGGCAAAGUCCGGGGCAGGAAGUUUACAAGGCUCAACGUAAACACGUUCCGGGGGAUCCUUUAAUAAUAAGAGUAGAGAAGCCUGCGGGCGCGGGGGGAGUUGGCCUGAUGCCCCUAUGGGCUCGGCCUGCCGCCGCCGCGGGGCCUCCAACACUACGCGCCAGGCCGGGUUCCGGAAAGCGGGCGGCGCUGGCGGGGAGCGCGGCAGGGAGCGGCCCUGACUGCGGGGUCGCGGCCGUGGGAAGUUGGUGCGGGAUGCAGCACGGCGCGCGCGAAACCCGGCUGGACUCUGAGCGCCCGAAACCAGGACCAAGCUUGGCACAGUGAUGAAGUCCCAGCUGUCACCACUGGCCUUUGUGCCCUUCUGGUAGAGCUGAACCCUUUCUUUGGGAUGAUAAUGGGGGCGUCACAUGUGUGCAGAGAAUGAAGACAGCCACAGUAACAUGCCGAGCAUCAGCGACAUUUUACGCACUCACAGCCUUCAAGCACUAGGAGGACUCCACUCAGGACCCAUCAUUUCCUCGUGGGAUGGUGCAACCGACUGCCCGUUGGCAUCUUGCUUCCCACCUGUGACACACUGUCCACUCUGGUCCUGGGCUCAAAAUGGGAGCAUAAGUUUAAGGUUAUCCUGGGCUACAUAGUGAACUUGGGAAACGAGAGCACUCAGUUGCCUGGUAUCACAGGGCACUCCUCUGGCCUGGGAGUACGGAGCUGAUUGGAUGUCCCACCCAACAGGGGAGGCGGUUCAAGCUCUUUCCAGGAAAUUGAGUGGAACACCCAAACUGACAUCCAAUAUUAAAUACUGUAUUUGUGGAGUUGUUCUGGAGAGUUCCCUGGCAUCUGACAUCUGGGAGAGAAAUUUAUAAGUGGGGGAAACUGAAUGCCUAGUUGGAAUGAGGCUCAUCAGAGCUGGGAAAUUAAAACGUCACUGUGCACUGGGCAGGA